GCGGGAGUGGCGUAGUGGUAACGUAGGAGCCUUCCAAGUUCAUGUCGAGAGUUCGAUUCUCUCCUCCCGUACCA
rnacentral:tRNA from 1 species